CUGGCCUCCUGCAGUGCCACACUCCGUGUAUUUGACAAGCUGAGUUAGACACUCCAUGUGGAAGAGUGUCAGUUUGUCAAAUACCCCAAGUGCGGCACAUGC
rnacentral:pre_miRNA from 1 species